rnacentral:rRNA from 1 species
AUUGAACGCUGGCGGCAGGCCUAACACAUGCAAGUCGAACGAGUGGCGGACGUGUGAGUAAUCUCUGGGAAACUGCCUGAUGGAUGGGGAUCACUACUGGAAACUAUAGCUAAUACCGCAUCCCAUCGGAUGUGCCCAUAGGGUAUUAGCUUGUUUGUGGGGUAACGGCUCACCAAGGCGACGAUCCCUAGCUGGUCUGAGAGGAUGACCAGCCACACUGGAACUGAGACACGGUCCAGACUCCUACGGUAGGCAGCAGUGGGGAAUAUUGCACAAUGGGCGCAAGCCUGAUGCAGCCAUGCCGCGGGUAUGAAGAAGGCCUUCGGGUUGUAAAGUACUUUCAGCGGGGAGGCGUUACCCGCAGAAGAAGCACCGGCUAACUCCGUGCCAGCAGCCGCGGUAAUAC